CGGUUUAAUCGGACUCAACGCCGGGAAACUCACCAGAUAAGACAGCUGAAUGAUAGUCGGGCUGAAGACUCUACUUGACUAGCUGAGAGGAGGUGCAUGGCCGUCGUCAGUUCGUACUGUGAAGCAUCCUGUUAAGUCAGGCAACGAGCGAGACCCACGCCAACAGUUGCCAGCUCGUCCUCCGGGAUGGUGGGGACACUGUUGGGACCGCCUCUGCUAAAGAGGAGGAAGGAAUGGGCAACGGUAGGUCAGCAUGCCCCGAAUUAUCUGGGCUACACGCGGGCUACAAUGGGUGGGACAAUGGGUAUCGACACCGAAAGGUGAAGGCAAUCUCCUAAACCCAUCCGUAGUUCGGAUUGUGGGCUGCAACUCGCCCACAUGAAGCUGGAAUCUGUAGUAAUCGUGUCUCAAAAUGGCACGGUGAAUAUGUCCCUGCUCCUU
rnacentral:rRNA from 1 species